rnacentral:rRNA from 1 species
UACAGAGGGGCAAGCGUUGUUCGGAAUUACUGGGCGUAAAGGGCGCGUAGGCGGCCUUCUAAGUUCGAACGUGAAAUCCCCGGGCUCAACCCGGGAACUGGCGUCCGAUACUGGAAGGCUUGAGGAUGGGAGAGGGAUGUAGAAUUCCAGGUGUAGGCGGUGAAAUGCGUAGAUAUCUGGAGGAAUACCGGUGGCGAAGGCGGCGAUCCUGGACCAUUACGUGACGCUGAGGCGCGAAAGCUAGGGGAGCAAACGGGA